AUUCGAUUAGAGUUUGAUCAUGGCUCAGAACGUACGCUGGCGGCACGCCUAACACAUGCAAGUCGAACGAAGUAGCAAUACUUAGUGGCAGACGGGUGAGUAACAUGUAGGUAUCUGCCCUUUGGCCUGGAAUAACACGAGGAAACUUGUGCUAAUACCGGAUAAGUCUUUACGGAGAAAGCUUUAUGCACCAUUGGAUGAGCCUGCACUUGAUUAGUUUGUUGGUGGGGUAAUGGCCUACCAAGACUGUGAUCAAUAGCUGAUUUGAGAGGAUGAUCAGCCACAUUGGGACUGAGACACGGCCCAAACUCCUACGGGAGGCAGCAGUGGGGAAUCUUGCACAAUGGAGGAAACCCUGAUGCAGCGAUGCCGCGUGAGUGAAGAAGGCCUUUGGGUUGUAAAGCUCUUUCGUCGGGGAAGAAAAUGACUGUACCCGAAUAAGAAGGUCCGGCUAACUUCGUGCCAGCAGCCGCGGUAAUACGAAGGGACCUAGCGUAGUUCGGAAUUACUGGGCUUAAAGAGUUCGUAGGUGGUUAAAAAAGUUGGUGGUGAAAUCCCAGAGCUUAACUCUGGAACUGCCAUCAAAACUUUUUAGCUAGAGUAUGAUAGAGGAAAGCAGAAUUUCUAGUGUAGAGGUGAAAUUCGUAGAUAUUAGAAAGAAUACCAAUUGCGAAGGCAGCUUUCUGGAUCAUUACUGACACUGAGGAACGAAAGCAUGGGUAGCGAAGAGGAUUAGAUACCCUCGUAGUCCAUGCCGUAAACGAUGUGUGUUAGACGUUGGAAAUUUAUUUUCAGUGUCGCAGCGAAAGCGAUAAACACACCGCCUGGGGAGUACGACCGCAAGGUUAAAACUCAAAUGAAUUGACGGGGACCCGCACAAGUAGUGGAGCAUGUGGUUUAAUUCGAAGAUACGCGCAGAACCUUACCAACACUUGACAUGUUCGUCGCGACUUUAAGAGAUUAAAGUUUUCGGUUCGGCCGGACGAAACACAGGUGCUGCAUGGCUGUCGUCAGCUCGUGUCGUGAGAUGUUGGGUUAAGUCCCGCAACGAGCGCAACCCUCACUUUUAGUUGCCAUCAUUAAGUUGGGCACUCUGAAAGAACUGCCAGUGAUAAGCUGGAGGAAGGUGGGGAUGACGUCAAGUCCUCAUGGCCCUUACGUGUUGGGCUACACACGUGCUACAAUGGUAUCUACAACAGGAAGCAAAACGGCGACGUUAAGCAAAUCCUUAAAAGAUACCUCAGUUCGGAUUGCACUCUGCAACUCGAGUGCAUGAAGCUGGAAUUACUAGUAAUCGUGGAUCAGCGUGCCACGGUGAAUGCGUUCCCGG
rnacentral:rRNA from 1 species